GAUGCAUCAUUUAUGCUCUUGUGACAUGUAUGUAAAGUUAGUGCAUUAGUUUAUGUAGCAACCAUUCAUCAUCUUAUUGCCUUAAAAAAAAAAAAAGUAGGAAACUUUCACUGUUACUAGAUGAGUUCCCUGUGUACUCAGCAUGGACACACUGGCAUGGUUAUAGACCAAAUUAUAGACCAGUGUCACCCAAGUUAUCUAGAAAGACUCUUCUUAUCUGAUAGCCUCUCCUUGUCCAGGUGUAUCAAGUAAGCUUG
rnacentral:lncRNA from 1 species